UACAGAGGGUGCAAGCGUUAAUCGGAAUUACUGGGCGUAAAGCGUGCGCAGGCGGUUAUGCAAGACAGAUGUGAAAUCCCCGGGCUCAACCUGGGAACUGCAUUUGUGACUGCAUGGCUGGAGUGCGGCAGAGGGGGAUGGAAUUCCGCGUGUAGCAGUGAAAUGCGUAGAUAUGCGGAGGAACACCGAUGGCGAAGGCAAUCCCCUGGGCCUGCACUGACGCUCAUGCACGAAGCGUGGGAGCAACAGG
rnacentral:rRNA from 1 species